UAAGGAAUAUUGGUCAAUGGACGCAAGUCUGAACCAGCCAUGCCGCGUGAAGGAUGAAGGUCCUCUGGAUUGUAAACUUCUUUUAUCUGGGACGAAAACGGGAUUUUUAUCUCAAUUGACGGUACCAGAGGAAUAAGCACCGGCUAACUCCGUGCCAGCAGCCGCGGUAAUACGGAGGGUGCGAGCGUUAUCCGGAUUUACUGGGUUUAAAGGGUGCGUAGGUGGGCUUAUAAGUCAGUGGUGAAAUCUCCGAGCUUAACUUGGAAACUGCCGUUGAUACUAUAGGUCUUGAAUUAUCUGGAGGUAAGCGGAAUAUGUCAUGUAGCGGUGAAAUGCUUAGAUAUUACAUAGAACACCAAUUGCGAAGGCAGCUUACUACACAAUCAUUGACACUGAGGCACGAAAGCGUGGGUAGCGAACA
rnacentral:rRNA from 1 species